UUCUGUGACUUUGAAGGGAUUUCCUCAGUAUUUUAAGAUAUUUUCAUAUUUAGCUAUCUAAAUCCAGAUUUGGAGGCUGUAUUGUUCUGUAUCUUGCUGAAAAAUUGACCAUUACUAAGUCCAGUCUUUUCACAGAAAGGGAAAACAAUGAC